rnacentral:rRNA from 1 species
AACGAACGCUGGCGGCGCGCUUAACACAUGCAAGUCGAGCGGUCUGUAGCAAUACAGGCAGCGGCGAACGGGUGAGUAACACGUGGGUAAUCUGCCCUCGAGUCUGGGAUAACCCGGCGA